GACGAACGCUGGCGGCGCGCUUAACACAUGCAAGUCGAACGGAAAGGCCUGCUUUCCCUUGUGGAUUGCGGGUACUCGAGUGGCGAACGGGUGAGUAACACGUGAGUGAUCUGCCCCCAACUUGGGUAUAAGCCUGGGAAACUGGGUCUAAUUCCCGAUAGGACUGCAGGGUGGUGCCUGUGGUGGAAAACGAUUUUCUAGUGGUUGGGGAUGAGCUCGCGGCCUAUCAGCUUGUUGGUGGGGUAAUGGCCUACCAAGGCGGCGACGGGUAGCCGGCCUGGGAGGGUGGACGGCCACAUUGGGACUGAGAUACGGCCCAGACUCCUACGGGAGGCAGCAGUGGGGAAUAUUGCACGAUGGGCGGAAGCCUGAUGCAGCGACGCCGCGUGGGGGAUGACGGCCUUCGGGUUGUAAACUCCUUCCGACCGCGAGGAAGCCACCUGGUUGGAAGGGUGGUGACGGUAGUGGUAGAAGAAGCACCGGCUAACUACGUG
rnacentral:rRNA from 1 species